CCACGCCGUAAACGAUGAAUACUAGGUGUAGGAGGUAUCGACCCCUUCUGUGCCGUCGCAAACGCAAUAAGUAUUCCACCUGGGGAGUACGGCCGCAAGGUUGAAACUCAAAGGAAUUGACGGGGGCCCGCACAAGCAGUGGAGUAUGUGGUUUAAUUCGACGCAACGCGAAGAACCUUACCAGGGCUUGACAUCCUCUGACCGGCUUAGAGAUAAGCUUUCCCUUCGGGGCAGAGAGACAGGUGGUGCAUGGUUGU
rnacentral:rRNA from 1 species